rnacentral:lncRNA from 1 species
UUGAAUUUUUUAAAUAUACUGAUUUAAUAAUUGAUUUUAAUAUUGAUUUUGCCCGGCGCCAUCUAUUAAUCACUUACCUUACUAGCUCAGUUAUAAAGUGAAUUCUGCAUGAGAUCUCCUAUCUGUGGAGGUGUGAGAAAAGAUUUCUGAAAUAUCAACUAAACAAACGACACAAAAAUACAGCUAUAUGAAAUGGUUGAUAAAUAACAAAAGACUGUCGAAUAUUGUACACGAAUUUGGAAAUAUAUUGAAAAUAAAGGCUUUGUUAUGCAACAUCAAAAAUACAAGGUUAUCUAGUCGAAAGUCUGAAGGAAGAAAUAUGAUGCAAUGAAUUUAACUAUAUAAAAAAAAAUAAAAGUAUUUGACAAAAAUUUAAGUCGAAGAUAACCCAAAAUUAUCUUGAAUAUUCAAAAUUUGUUAUAUUAAAGCUAGAAAAUGAAAAACAUUGACUUUAGAUCAUGAUCAAUUAAAAAUAUAAACUGUUCAGUACAACCUUUCACGAUGUAAUAUGAAGAUAAACCAAACUGCUAUGAAGUCUCUUCGGAUCCAAGACGAAACCAACUCCUUCUAUUUCACUGGAACAAUGUUCUAAAUCUGGUAGAUACCCGCAUCACAAUACUUUUUCACUUUUCUUAUAAAGUUGAGGGUCAUUUUUGAAAAUUUUUUCUUCACCAUGAAGAUUAUUUAUACAGAUUAAUGUCUAUUUCAACAUAAUUUCACAAAUCUAUACAUGCAGCUAAAUGAUGCAAGACGUAUCACCUUAACGAAGUUCCUUUCGAAGUGACUUUUGGAAACAUGGAACCUUUUGAUGAUUCUUACGAACAAAUAAGGCUAUUGUAUGAUAAAAAUAGAAGUAAUUCUCAGGUAAAACUCAAAAUUCAAAUUAUUAUAUAUUCUAUUUACUAAUUUCUAAUUUAUAUGUCAUUGAAAUAUCAUCUUUGAUAUAGGAUUACCUAUUUUGAUUUCUUAUGUAAUUCUACCUUUAUACACUUAAAUAAAACCAUCUUAUAAC